GCGCCUCCGGACAACCGGGCACGCGGUGCGCAGCCCGCAGUUACAAAGACAAACCAGGAACAGGCCCCGUUUGGGGGAACCCUCCAAACCAUCAAACUCGACGGUAAGUCCUGCCGUGAGAGCCCCGAGACUCCGGAGACCGGAAGGCACCCCAGCUCCCGAGCGCCGGGUCCCGGCCUGGGCCUGGGUUCGGAAGGAAGCGGCGGCUCCUCCCGCCGGGGACGAGGCCCUGGGAGAGGCCGAGCCGCGCUGGCAGUGCGGGCGGGGAGCGGAGACGGCGCCGGGCCGGCCGGGCCCCGAGGCGCUGGGCAGCACCCGCGCUGCCUGCUGCUCGCUGCUCGCAGCGCCCCCGCCCGGCCCCGAGCGGCCACCGCACCGCUGGGGCGACCGCAGCCCGCGCAGGUGCCAACUCGCGCAGGGAGGCGCCUCGGCCGCAGAAGGGCCCCCCGCGGCGCCCGCGUCCGGACACGGGCCUUCCGCCCUCCGAGCUUCCCACUUCCAGUAAGAUUCGCUGGCGGCGUGGAGGUCAGGCCACGGGGCCUCACGUCCGCAUUGGCGGGAGCCACUUGCGGUGCACACAGAGCAGCGUGUGCCGCCGGCAGAGGGCGAUCCCACAGAAGGCCUGAAAGCGGCGUCCCGGGGGCGCGGAGCCUCUGCCGGGAGGGGUCCUCCUCCGCGCGGUGCCGGUGCCGGUGCCGGUGCCGGUGCCGGUGCCGGUGCCGGGCAGAGCAGCGCAGGCGCAGACGGGCGAGGCGCUCCGAGGCACCUGUCCACGCGGGGAAGCGUCUCUGGCAGAGGCUACCUGGGGCGCGAGUCUUUCCUCGCACUACAGGGGCCUCAGCUAGAAGAUGGUCGGGGGGCCCGGGGCGCAGCGGUUUAGCGCCGCCUUCGGCCCACGGCCUGAUCCUGGAGACCCGGGAUCGAGUCCCGCGUCGGGCUCCCUGCGUGGAGCCUGCUUCUCCCUCUGCCUGUGUCUCUGCCUCGCUCUCCGUGUCUCUCAUGAAUAAAUGA
rnacentral:lncRNA from 1 species